rnacentral:rRNA from 1 species
CACGUAGGGUGCGAGCGUUGUCCGGAAUUAUUGGGCGUAAAGAGCUCGUAGGCGGUGUGUCGCGUCGGCCGUGAAAACCUGCAGCUUAACUGUGGGCUUGCGGUCGAUACGGGCAUCACUGGAGUUCGGCAGGGGAGACUGGAAUUCCGUGGUGUAGCGGUGAAAUGCGCAGAUAUCAGGAGGAACACCGGUGGCGAAGGCGGGUCUCUGGGCCGACACGUGACGCUGAU